UGCCAAAGGACUGGCUGAGGUCGGCGAGGGUGUCUGGAGGAGGCAGGACUAAGAUAUUAGUGUCGGGAUUGAUGAGGUGCCAAGGGAAAAGAAGGACAUGGUCCUGCAAAUCUGGCCCACGCCUCGGUAGGCCAGUUGGAAGUAUCUGUUGGGACACCGGGGGAGAGUGUGAAACUGGCCCGGCGGGAGCAGGGGCUGGUCGCUCCCUGGAGGCACCUGAGCCGCGCGCAUGCCCAGAGCACGCAGUGGGCGUGCCGGAAGUGUGAGGGCCGAGCAGAGGAGGGUCGGAGCUGUGAGCCGAGGGCGUUCCUGGGGCUGCGGGUGUUCCCUCGCUGGGAACUGGGUUUGAUGAGGGUGUGGGACGCUAUUUCAAGCAGUUGGAGGAUUGCACUGCCAGAGUGAUCCAGAAGCCACCGAGGUGGGGCUCCGGCCAACGGAGGCGGAGAUGGAUGCUGGGAGAAGGCGACAGGAGCAUGUCUUCGGUUUGGAGCCUGGAGCACUGCCCCCACUUGGAGAGGUGGCUUGGCCAGUUCACUGGCCAAAUGUGGAACUGGAAGUCACGAUGUAGCAUUCACACCAAGAACACUGGAGAUUAUUCCUCCCUCCUCGGCUGCCGACUGCCCCUGCCCGGCUGGUGAAGACCUGCCUGCUCCAGCCUUGUGGUGGGAACAGAUGUUGCUGCCAGGGCUGUGGCUCCCUGUGCCACUGUCCACGCCCAGGAGCAGGGGCUUUGCCUUGCCCUCUGCUGUGGAGGGAAAAGGGAGGUGCCAAGAAGUGGGUCCCCGCCUGUGGCUUCCUGUUUCUGGGUGAAGGAGAGGGGUGGAGCUUCUGUGUCCUUGUCUGCGCUCACUGGGCGUAGGAGGACGGAAACCUCAGUGUGCCCUUGUCUCUUGUCUCCAGCUGCCUGGGCCUCGGAGCAGCGCCGGGUCCUGAGUGGACACUGUCCACAGAGAGGCCUGGGUCCCAGGCCUGGUGCCACCGGACAUGUCACCCCCUCCCACACUCUACUCCAAGACCGAAUGUUUGUGUGUGUCCCCCCCCCCCCACCCCAGUUCAUAUGUUGAAAUCCUAACCCCCAACGUGAUGGUAUUUGGAAGCAGGGCCCACCAGGGCAGAUGAGGAUACGGAGAAGACAGCCAUCUGUGAGCCAGGACACUGAAUCUGCCAGCGCCUUGAUCUUGGACUUCCCAGCCUCCAGAACUGGGAGGAAUAAAUUUCUGUCAUUUACAAGCA